GGUAAGAUGGCCGAGUUGGUUAAGGCGACAGAUUUAAGUUGGAUGUUAAAAUCCCUGUUGACGAGAGUCUCCUGGGUUCGAAUCCCAGUCUUACCA